rnacentral:rRNA from 1 species
UACAGAGGGUGCAAGCGUUAAUCGGAUUACUGGGCGUAAAGCGCGCGUAGGCGGCUAAUUAAGUCAAAUGUGAAAUCCCCGAGCUUAACUUGGGAAUUGCAUUCGAUACUGGUUAGCUAGAGUGUGGGAGAGGAUGGUAGAAUUCCAGGUGUAGCGGUGAAAUGCGUAGAGAUCUGGAGGAAUACCGAUGGCGAAGGCAGCCAUCUGGCCUAACACUGACGCUGAGGUGCGAAAGCAUGGGGAGCAAACAGG